GACCAGCCAAUCACAGAGAAGCGUGCCGUGACGUGGCCCCGCCUCCCAGUGAGGAUGCGCGACAGAGGAAGAGACCCAAGGACGGAGGAGACAUCUUCACUCCCUCCAGCUUCAGAGGACUUUAAAGGUCCCACAUGAAAUCCAUCACCAACCCAACACUGUCAACAUGACUCUCAGCUGCAUCCUCUACUGUCCGGACUCAGCAGGAACCUACACCAGGAUCCUGUUUGUGGAUUUCUGCUCUGGUUUUAACACAAGCUUUCCCAGCUUCACGACUCCACCUGCAGGUCACUGAGUUUCUGUCUGACAGGAAGCAGCAGGUGAAGCUGGGGAAGAAUGUUUCUGACACCUAGACCAUCAGCUCUGGUUCACCACAAGGCCAAGUCCUUUCACCUUUGCUCCCAGCAGCUGCUCCUCCAGUCACCAGUCUUUGAAACUCCUAAAGUUCUCAGAUGACAUCACCAUCAUUGGGCUCAUCCCAGUUGGGUAAUGAGUCUGCCCUCAGGUUGGAGUUUGACCAUCUGGUGACUGAGUGCAGGCAGAAGGACCCAACCUUACCCACAACCAUCACCCCACGUGACUCCCCAGUCCACACCGGAGAGCACUGCCGCUUUCUGGGCACCAUUUUCCUCCUGAGAGCCGGCCCAUUCAUUUAUAUCCUCUGUAGUGGACAUUUGUUUUUGAUCGAUAUCUUUUGACUAAUUUGAGCUACCCUAUUAAAUCCUGUUAUGCUCUUCAGAGGAUAUAUAUAUCAUAGUUAAAAUUAAAGACAUAUUGUAUUUUUGUGAAGUUCUUGUGUUUGAUUAUUUUGGAUAACCUUUAUAUUGGUAGGCCUGAGGGGCUGAUUAGGGGGAUGCCUAUAAAAGACUGGCAGUUGAGUGAGAGCGGGGAGAGAGGAAAGGAGUGCCACAACACACCAGUUAACAACCUUUGCUGUUUGUGUACUUUUAAUGUGAAUGUUGGUGAAUAAACACCAGCUUGACCUGCAUCUUA